rnacentral:lncRNA from 1 species
AGAUAAUUUAGAAGUCGAGAAAAAGACAAAACUAAAUGAUUGUUUUGGGAGAUCUUGAAGAAUUUGAAAAUAUGGUUUCCCGUGUUUUGCUGAUAGGAAAACAAAGUCCCUGGCACCAGUCUAGGAUUACAAAUCUCAGAGACUACAGCCGAAAACACAGAACUCGCGUUUUGGAAAUUUGGACUCGGUUCAUUAGAGCAGGAUAAUAAAAACAUGACCAGGAUCCCCAUCCUCUAUUUGGAGGAGGUGGAUUUGCUGAUUCUGCUAAAGAAAUACUUGGUAAAGAAUUUGUUUUCUGUUUUGGGACUCCAAAAUCAUUUACAAAAUGCAGAAUGUGAAUCCUAAAAAAUAAUAGCAGAGGGUCAUAUGCUAACUGCCAUCUCCAAGGAAAAUCUGAAAACAAAUUUGCCACUUUGAAUAAGCACUUUUAUUUAUGCAGUACAAUCUAUCUGUCAAAACAGCAUGAGGCUCUGCUCAGUUAAAUAUUCUAAUACAAUUAGCAAAGUAAUGUAAUUGGCUGGCCUUAAUAGACAUCAGCUCUACGGGCAGCAUCACUAAAGUUAACAGUCAUGCUGGAGAUGGGACCGAGAAGCUGCAAAUGAAGCCAGAUGUACACACAGAGGGGCUAUAGACCCAUCAGGAUUUCCUGGGGGGAAAUAUUCAUUAAACUGUGCAUCUGGUAGAGUGCUUCAAAAAUCUGCCCCUCCUUAAUGAUCCUUUGGCAGAUUUGUUUUUAAAAAUACCUCACCCCCAUUUGAAAGGUAAAUCUAUAUAUGACAGUCUUUAGUAAAUUAAUAUAUUAUUACCAAAAGUAUUGUUAAGUCAAAAUGAUAGUUUCUUAUAAUGGUGGUGAUGCAGUGUGACGGAAUCCUCCAUAUCUCGUAUUGUUGAAGAAAUUUGAAAAAAAAAAAAAAAAGAUUAAUGUUCAGAUUUACUUAUUUUUUGACACUCUUCUCAUCAAGAGACCAUGGUCUAUAUCCCUUGUUCCUUCCCCUUAAAUCUGGGAAGGCUCUGUGACUGCAGUGACUAAUAGAAUAUUACUGAGUGGUAUGUCAGUUUCGGUACUCAGGCCACAGAGACAUACAGUUUCCAUUUUCUAUCUCAGAACACUCACUUUUGGAAUUCAGAUGUGAGAAAACCCAAGUCCUCUCAGAGAGGAUCAUGUGCAGAGAAACUGAGGCUCCAGGUGACAGUCCCAGAUGAGCUUCCAGCACACAGCCAACACCAAAUUGCCAUCUUUUAAGUUGUCCACCUACAUUGGUCCAGCUGCCUCAGCUGUUUCUGCAUAGAGAAGAGCUGAACUACCUCCCCAGAUCCCUGCUCACAUUACAGAUUUUUCACCCAAAUUAUUGAGUGCUGUCAUUUGAAGCCACAAAGUUUUGGGGUAAUUUGUUAUGGCCAUGAUAGAUAAUGGAAAUGCUCAUCAACAGGUAGCCAAACACAUUGAAAAACACAUACAUUCUUUCCACAAUUUCUUUUCUGUCUGGAUUUGAAAACAAAUUUCCCUCAAUAAAAUAACUCAGUGGCAAUUUUCUCCAGGUCAGUGUUUUUAAUUUGUAGCCUGAAAUCUGUAUGUUUAACCUGAUACCAAACUUGUUUGUUCUCUAAUCCAGUUGUUGCUGUUCAUUUACACUCUAUAG